rnacentral:sRNA from 1 species
AUAAAAUCUUAACCCCACAAAAAAAAACAUUUACCAAGAAAAAAAAGUAAUUAAAUAUUAAUAUUUUAGAGAGAGAAAAUGGACCUAGAGAAUCUCUCUAUGCAUAAAAAAAAUUUUUUGGAUAGCCGUUACUGAAAGACAAAUCCUUUUCAGUCUCUCCUCUUUCUCUUGACAAGGCGAUUUCAAGUCUUUCUCUCAUAAAUUAGGACUUUUUGCGAUUGAAAAAACUCUUCUCCGUUCGAUUUAUAGUUUAAGAUAGUUAUGUAGUUUAGUAUCUCGUGGUUUUCUUCUAUAUUCUCGUUAGUUGUGGCUGUUAUUUAGGGUUUUAGGUUUUGUCCAUUUCUGAAGGAAUUAUGACAGAGUCUAUUGAUUUGAAUCGAUUAGAGUCCGAGUCUGAUAACAACACCGACGACGUUACUCCUAUUUUUGCAAUUGAUGACUCUGCAAAAGGGUAUUUUUCUCUUGUUCGUUCCUUAAUUAUAUUGUGUGGUUUGGUGUAUAUUUGUUGCAACUUGAUGAAUUUGGGGGUGAGUUGUGUGUGAUUAAGGUUUUUAUGUGUGAUGAUUAAGAUUAAUGGAAAUAAAAUAAUGUUGGGAAAUUUGUAAUAUCAGUUUUAAGUAUAUAUGUUUAUAUGUUAUUAGGGUUUGAUCUUAUGAUUGCUUUGUGAUGUUUGUUUUGUGCUUAAAGAUACAGAAGAGUGAGUGGUCCUACUAGAAGAUCAACUAAAGGAUGAUGGACAUCCGAAGAGGUAUAUAUAUUGCUCUUGUUCAGUCUUGUCUUUUGCAAGUUACAUAAAUGUGUCACUGAAAUCUUUUUUCCAUCAUAUGCAGGACAAAAUUUUGACGAAUGCUGUGAAGAAGUACCAAGGGAGGAACUGAAAAAGGAUUGGUAAAUAAUAUUUUGAUUUGUUAGCCAUCAAUAUUUGCCAUAAAACCAAUAUACACUAUAUAGUGUUUUUUUUUUUCUCUUGUCUUUGGUUUAGCUGAAUGCCUUCCUCGGUCGGAAGAGAAUAGGAGGAAUGAUGUCCAAUGCCAACACCGUUGGUUAAAGGUUCUUGAUCCAAGCCUCCAAAAAGGAGCUUGGAAAAAAGAGGUAACUACUUUUGCAUUCCCUUCUUGAUAUAUGCUAUGUUACGUUGUUUCAUUACCGAGUAAUCAUAUAUGUAUAUAUAUAUCUUAAUAUUCAGGAAGAUAAACUCUUAAGUGAGUUGGUUAAAAAUUAUAUAUGUAAUUAUGUAUAUAUAUUCCUUUCGAUACUAUUUAACUAUAAUAAAAAAUCAAAUAUUAAUAGUUAUUUUUUUGGUACAUCAAAAAGGAUAAAAUUUAU